AUUACAUGCUGUAUAAAUAUAAAUAAAUUAUACAUGCAAUUUAAACUACAUGUAUCCAUAGUAAGACAAUUUUGCUAUUUUACUGGGAUAGGGUUUAUCAAGUAGUGAAGAUGAUGAGAUUACAAGGAAACAAAAGCCCAAAGAAAGCCAGAAGAAGAAGGCAAGAAAAUGCAUUGACUCAGGAAAGCCAUAUCAGCAAAAAAAGGAGGAGGUUCAAAAUCAAGCCAGAUAAAGAGGCUAAUCACUGUUGGGGACUCUGAAGAGGAGGAAGUUGUACCUCGGAAGCUAAAGAAAUCUGCCAAGCCGAUGGAAACAAAAACAAGCAAGGAGGUUGUGCACGUUAAGGAGAGCCCAGUAAAGCCUAGAGAAACUCCACAGAAACUGACGUCUGCUCUUGACUUCUUUGGUUCAGCUCCUGCAGAAAGAGAAUCACGAAAAGUUGUUGCUACAAAGAGGAAACAGGUUUGUAAACUGCUACUCCACAAGCAGAGCCCACUUUGAUCAUUCUAAAAUCAAAAGCAACUCUAUUCACAGGGUGGUGAGUUGACUACCACUUUGGGGCAAUGAUAUUUCAGUUUGAAAUGUGUACACAUGA